AAUAAUUUUAAAUGGCUGCGGUAUAACUGACCGUGCAAAGGUAGCAUAAUAAUUAGUUUUUUAAUUGGAAGCUGGAAUGAACGAUUGGACGAGAAAAUGACUGUUUCUAUUUAAAUUAAUAAAAAUUUAUUUUUAAGUGAGAAAGCUUAAAUUUUUUUAAAAGACGAGAAGACCCUAUAAAGUUUUAUAUUUUGUUUAGUUAAGAUUUUUUUUAGAAUUUUAGAAGUUUUUAUUUAAUAAGGUGUUUUGUUGGGGAAAUAGAGAAAUUGAAUGAA
rnacentral:rRNA from 1 species